CUCGACUCCAUGAAGUCGGAAUCGCUAGUAAUCGCAAAUCAGAAUGUUGCGGUGAAUACGUUCCCGGGCCUUGUACACACCGCCCGUCACACCAUGGGAGUGGGUUGCACCAGAAGUAGAUAGCUUAACCUUCGGGAGGGCGUUUACCACGGUGUGAUUCAUGACUGGGGUGAAGUCGUAACAAGGUAACCCUAGGGGAACCUGGGGUUGGAUCACCUCCUUA
rnacentral:rRNA from 1 species